rnacentral:rRNA from 1 species
GAUGAACGCUGGCGGCGUGCCUAAUACAUGCAAGUCGAGCGAACAGACGAGGAGCUGGCUCCUCUGACGGUAGCGGCGGACGGGUGAGUAACACGUGGAGAACCUACCUAUAAGACUGGGAUAACUUCGGGAAACCGGAGCUAAUACCGGAUAAUAUAUUGAACCGCAUGGUUCAAUAGUGAAAGACGGUUUUGCGGUCACUUAUAGAUUGAUCGGCGCCGCAUUAGCUAGUUGGUACGGUAACGGCUUACCAAGGCGACGAUGCGUAGCCGACCUGAGAGGGUGAUUGGCCACACUGGAACUGAGACACGGUCCAGACUCCUACGGGAGGCAGCAGUAGGGAAUCUUCCGCAAUGGGCGAAAGCCUGACGGAGCAACGCCGCGUGAGUGAUGAAGGUCUUCUGAUCGUAAAACUCUGUUAUUCGGGAAGAACAAAUGUGUAAGUAACUAUGCACGUCUUGACGGUACCUAAUCAGAAAGCCACGGCUAACUACGUG